UUUUAAAUGUAAAUAGUUUAUUUAAAUUAGUAUUAGUUAUGUUCUUUAAAGUUAAAGAUUUUGGCGGUAUUUUAGUCUAUUUAGAGGAACCUGUUCUAUAAUUGAUAAUCCACGAUUAGAGUUACUUAAUUUAUUAAUUUAUAUAUCGUUGUUAUUAAAGAUUUUAUAAGAAAUUAAUUUUUAAGAUUUUAAAUUAAAAAAUAUAUCAAAUCAAGGUGUAGUUUAUAGUUAAGAAGAAAUGGGUUACAAUAAGUUUAUUUAUAUGGAUUUAAUUUUUAAAUAUAUUAGUGAAGGAGGAUUUAAUAGUAAAUAAAUUAAUAUUUUUUUUUUGAUUUUAGCUCUAAAAUAUGU
rnacentral:rRNA from 1 species